AUUGAACGCUGGCGGCAGGCCUAACACAUGCAAGUCGAACGAGUGGCGGACGGGUGAGUAAUGUCGGGGAAACUGCCUGAUGGAGGGGGAUAAAUACUGGAAACGGUACCUAAUACCGCAUACCAUCGGAUGUGCCCAGAUGGGUUUAGCUAGUAGGUGGGGUAAAGGCUCACCUAGGCGACGAGCCCUAACUGGUCUGGGAGGAUGACCAGCCACACUGGAACUGAAACCCGGUCCAGACUCCUACAGGAGGCAGCAGUGGGGAAUAUUGCACAAUGGGCGCAAGCCUGAUGCAGCCAUGCCGCGUGUAUGAAGAAGGCCUUCGGGUUGUAAAGUACUUUCAGCGGGGAGGCGUUACCCGCAGAAGAAGCACCGGCUAACUCCGUGCCAGCCGCCGCGGUAAUAC
rnacentral:rRNA from 1 species